AACCUCCGCAAUGUGAGAAAUCGCGACGGGGGAUCCCAAGUGCCAUUCUUAACGGGAUGGCUUUUCAUUAGUGUAAAGAGCUUUUGGAAUAAGAGCUGGGCAAGACCGGUGCCAGCCGCCGCGGUAACACCGGCAGCUCUAGUGGUAACAAUUUUUAUUGGGCCUAAAGCGUCCGUAGCCGGUUUAAUAAGUCUCUGGUGAAAUCCUGCAGCUUAACUGUGGGAAUUGCUGGAGAUACUAUUAGACUUGAGACCGGGAGAGGUUAGAGGUACUCCCAGGGUAGAGGUGAAAUUCUGUAAUCCUGGGAGGACCGCCUGUUGCGAAGGCGUCUAACUGGAACGGUUCUGACGGUGAGGGACGAAAGUUAGGGGCGCGAACCGGGAUUAGAUACCCGGGUAGUCCUAACUGUAAACGAUGCGGACUUGGUGUUGGGGUGGCUUUGAGCUGCUUCAGUGCCGAAGGGAAGCUGUUAAGUCCGCCGCCUGGGAAGUCGGUCGCAGACUGAAACUUAAGGAAUU
rnacentral:rRNA from 1 species